GACGAACGCUGGCGGCGUGCUUAACACAUGCAAGUCGAACGGAAAGGCCCUGCUUUUGUGGGGUGCUCGAGUGGCGAACGGGUGAGUAACACGUGAGUAACCUGCCCUUGACUUUGGGAUAACUUCAGGAAACUGGGGCUAAUACCGGAUAGGAGCUCCUGCUGCAUGGUGGGGGUUGGAAAGUUUCGGCGGUUGGGGAUGGACUCGCGGCUUAUCAGCUUGUUGGUGGGGUAGUGGCUUACCAAGGCUUUGACGGGUAGCCGGCCUGAGAGGGUGACCGGCCACAUUGGGACUGAGAUACGGCGCAGACUCCUACGGGAGGCAGCAGUGGGGAAUAUUGCACAGUGGGCGGAAGCCUGAUGCAGCAACGCCGCGUGCGGGAUGACGGCCUUCGGGUUGUAAACCGCUUUCGCCUGUGACGAAGCGUGAGUGACGGUAAUGGGUAAAGAAGCACCGGCUAACUACGUG
rnacentral:rRNA from 1 species